rnacentral:tRNA from 1 species
GCCUGGGUGGCGAAAUUGGUAGACGCGCCGGAUUCAAAAUCCGGUUCCUUCACGGGAGUAUCGGUUCGAUUCCGAUCCCAGGUACCA